GGGGCUGUAGCUCAGUUGGGAGAGCGUCUGGUUCGCAAUCAGAAGGUCGUCGGUUCGAUCCCGAUCAGCUCCACCA
rnacentral:tRNA from 1 species